rnacentral:rRNA from 1 species
AACGAACGCUGGCGGCAUGCCUAGCACAUGCAAGUCGAACGAGACCUUCGGGUCUAGUGGCGCACGGGUGCGUAACGCGUGGGAACCUGCCCUUAGGUUCGGAAUAACUCCCCGAAAGGGGUGCUAAUACCGGAUAAUGUCUUCGGACCAAAGAUUUAUCGCCCUUGGAUGGGCCCGCGUUGGAUUAGCUAGUUGGUAGGGUAAAAGCCUACCAAGGCGACGAUCCAUAGCUGGUCUGAGAGGAUGAUCAGCCACACUGGGACUGAGACACGGCCCAGACUCCUACGGGAGGCAGCAGUGGGGAAUAUUGGAAACUGGGCGAAAGCCUGAUCCAGCAAUGCCGCGUGAGUGAUGAAGGCCUUAGGGUUGUAAAGCUCUUUUACCCGGGAUGAUAAUGACAGUACCGGGAGAAUAAGCUCCGGCUAACUCCGUG